CUCAAAUUUGAAAUCUGGCCCCUCCGGGUCCGAGUUGUAAUUUGUAGAGGAUGCUUUUGGUGAGGUGCCGCCCGAGUUCCCUGGAACGGGACGCCACAGAGGGUGAGAGCCCCGUCUGGCUGGCCACCGAGCCUCUGUAAAGCUCCUUCGACGAGUCGAGUAGUUUGGGAAUGCUGCUCAAAAUGGGAGGUAUAUGUCUUCUAAAGCUAAAUAUUGGCCAGAGACCGAUAGCGCACAAGUAGAGUGAUCGAAAGAUGAAAAGCACCUUGAAAAGAGGGUUAAACAGUACGUGAAAUUGUUGAAAGGGAAGCGCUUGUGACCAGACUUGGGCGCGGCGGAUCAUCCGGGGUUCUCUCCGGUGCACUUCGCCGCGUUCAGGCCAGCAUCAGUUCGUCGCGGGGGAAAAAGGCUUCGGG
rnacentral:rRNA from 1 species